rnacentral:rRNA from 1 species
UACGCCUACGGGAGGCAGCAGUGGGGAAUAUUGCACAAUGGGGGAAACCCUGAUGCAGCGACGCCGCGUGAGCGAUGAAGUAUUUCGGUAUGUAAAGCUCUAUCAGCAGGGAAGAGAAUGACGGUACCUGACUAAGAAGCCCCGGCUAACUACGUGCCAGCAGCCGCGGUAAUACGUAGGGGGCAAGCGUUAUCCGGAUUUACUGGGUGUAAAGGGAGCGUAGACGGUCCUGCAAGCCAGAUGUGAAAGCCCGGGGCUCAACCCCGGGACUGCGUUUGGAACUGUAAGGCUA